rnacentral:rRNA from 1 species
ACGGGAGGCAGCAGUGGGGGAUAUUGCACAAUGGGGGAAGCCCUGAUGCAGCAACGCCGCGUGAAGGAAGAAAGUCUUCGGAUUGUAAACUUUUGUCUUUAGGGAAGAAACAAAUGACGGUACCUAAGGAGGAAGCCACGGCUAACUACGUGACAGCAGCCGCGGUAAUACGUAGGUGGCAAGCGUUGUCCGGAUUUACUGGGUGUAAAGGGCGUGUAGACGGGAUUGCAAGUCAGAGGUGAAAUUUAUGGGCUUAACCCAUAACCUGCCUUUGAAACUGUGAUUCUUGAGUGAUGGAGAGGUAAGCGGAAUUCCUAGUGUAGCGGUGAAAUGCGUAGAUAUUAGGAGGAACACCGGUGGCGAAGGCGGCUUACUGGACAUUAACUGACGUUGAGGCUCGAAAGCGUGGGGAGCAAACAGGAUUGGAUACCCUGUUA